rnacentral:rRNA from 1 species
UGGGGAAUAUUGCACAAUGGGGGAAACCCUGAUGCAGCAACGCCGCGUGAGUGAAGAAGUAUUUCGGUAUGUAAAGCUCUAUCAGCAGGGAAGAAGAUGACGGUACCUGAGUAAGAAGCCCCGGCUAACUACGUGCCAGCAGCCGCGGUAAUACGUAGGGGGCAAGCGUUAUCCGGAUUUACUGGGUGUAAAGGGAGCGUAGACGGCGAUGCAAGUCUGAAGUGAAAGCCCGGGGCUCAACCCCGGGACUGCUUUGGAAACUGUAUAGCUAGAGUGCUGGAGAGGCAAGCGGAAUUCCUAGUGUAGCGGUGAAAUGCGUAGAUAUUAGGAAGAACACCAGUGGCGAAGGCGGCUUGCUGGACAGUAACUGACGUUGAGGCUCGAAAGCGUGGGGAGCAAACAGGAUUAGAUACCC